UCUGAAAAAGCCAAACCUCAAGUAAUUGAGGGACGGAAAGCCGCGGAUCCUUACAACGCAAGGACAGCCGGGUUGCCUGGG
rnacentral:ncRNA from 1 species